rnacentral:sRNA from 1 species
UUGCGCCUGCGGCGGGCCCGGCACGGACCAUUUAUGAGGCUUCACAGGCAGCCGGUCCGUGUACGGUCUGGUACAUCCAAGUAUUUACUUGGAUUUAAUGAUUUCU